GGUCCGGUGGCCUAGUGGUUAGAGCGCCCGCUUCGGAUGCUGAAGGUCACGGAUCGAUCUCCGGUCGAGUCA